rnacentral:lncRNA from 1 species
GAACUUGGGGUUCAAUCACAACAAAAUAGGGACUUAAUUGGAGGAAUCAUGAAGACUUUGGGGUCGAAAUUAAAGAAAAGUAACGUCCAGGGGUCAAUUUAUGUUUAAAUCAUGACUUAAUUGAAUAAGAUCUGGAAGUUAUGUGGGCUUUAAUGUGAUUUCGCCAAAGGUCUCAGGUCAAUUUGCAAAUUCAUAAACAUCUUCCAACCCAGCUCGUCUUCCUCGCGAUAUUCAGCCUCUAUUUUCAUCUAAAAACGCAACCAGGUUUUAUUCACGAGCAAAAAUGCAGGCCAGUCAUCUUUCCAAAUUUGUUUCCUUGGAUUGAAGCUUUU